UAAUAUCUCAUUUUACACAACUCCAACAUGCUUCAAAAUAGCUUCUUUUAUUGACCCUUCCUCUUAUUAAAAUCCCUUACAUCUCUAUACUUCUUUUCACUACACAAUAUGGAAUUUUUGACACCAAAAAUCUUCAUAUUUUUCUCUUGUCUUCAACUCAUAUCACAAGCCAAAAUCAUAAAAUUUGACCAGCAAUAUGGUGACCCUUUUGAUCAUACAUAUGUCCCCCUUCUUGAAAUCAAACAUCCUGCACAAAUUAGCAAUCAAGCACUUCAAAUCACCCCAGACUCAUCUUCCUCUGAUUACCAAAUGUUCAAUAACUCAGGCAGAAUCCUAUUAAAACAACCUUUCAAACUAUGGGUAGACAAUGAUAUUUCAAGGACAGCGUCUUUCAACACAUCAUUCCUUGCAAACAUUUAUAGACCGGAUAACAAAACACCAGCUGAAGGUCUAGCUUUCUUGAUAUGUCCAAAUUUUGAUUUGCCACUAAAUAGUCAAGGCCAGUAUUUGGGCCUAACGAAUGCUACAACAGAUGGUGAAUUAUCCAACAAAAUAAUCGCGAUUGAGCUAGAUACAUUCAAACAAGAAUUCGAUAUUGAUGAUAACCAUAUUGGGAUUGAUAUAAACAGUGUUAAAUCCGUUAAGUCGGAACCUUUAACACCACAUGGAAUUGAACUUGCUCCAAUAGGUGUAAGAUUUUACAAUAUAUGGAUACACUAUGAUGGAUUCAAGAAAGUACUUGAUGUGUACAUUAUUGAACAAAUGACGAAACAUGGGACAACACCAACAAGGCCAAAAGUACCAAUACUAACACACAAUGUUGAUUUGAGAGAAUUUGUAAAUCAAGAAUCAUAUUUUGGAUUUUCAGCUUCAACAGGACAUUUCAAUCAGUUGAAUUGUGUGUUGAGAUGGAAUUUAACAGUUGAGUAUUUUCAAGAAAAGAAUGAUCAAGAAAAGGUACUAAUAAUAAGUCUAAGUGUUGGUGUAUCAGUAUUGGUUGUUUUAUUGAUUUUGUCAGGGUAUUUUGGGUAUUUUUUUAUAAGAAAAAAAGGGAUGAUAGAUCACAAUCUAACAUAUUAGGGGCAUUAAAGAGUUUACCUGGAAUGCCUAGGGAUUUUGAGUUUAAAGAAUUGAAAAAAGCUACUAAUAAUUUUGAUGAAAAGAAUAAACUUGGUGAAGGUGGAUUUGGAGUUGUGUACAAAGGGUAUUUAGUUGGUGAAGAUUUGGAAAUUGCUGUGAAGUGGUUUUCUAGGGAAAGUAUCAAGGGUCAAGAUGAUUUCUUGGCUGAGUUGACAAUUAUCAACCGUUUAAGGCAUAAACAUCUUGUCAAAUUACUUGGAUGGAGCCAUAGGCAUGGUAAGCUACUACUUGUAUAUGAAUACAUGCCAAAUGGUAGCCUGGACAAACAUCUCUUCUCAUCAGAGCAAGAAAAAGAGCCACUCAGCUGGAGUGUGAGGUACAACAUUGCAUCGGGAGUCGCGUCAGCUCUGCACUAUCUUCACAACGAAUACGAGCAGAAGGUAGUCCAUCGCGAUCUCAAGGCAAACAACAUCAUGCUCGACUCAAACUUCAAUGCACGUUUAGGUGAUUUUGGAUUAGCACGAGCAAUUGACAACGAAAAGACCUCUUAUGCUGAUGAAGCUGAAGGUGUACUUGGCACGAUGGGAUACAUCGCGCCAGAAUGCUUCCACACAGGAAAAGCAACUCAACAUUCUGAUGUCUAUGCAUUCGGAGCUGUGUUGUUGGAGCUAAUAUGUGGCCAAAGGCCUGGAACUAAAGUUAAUGGGUUUCAACUCUUUCUUGAUUGGGUUUGGUUCUUGCAUCGCGAUGGGAGAAUCCUUGAAGCUGUUGACAAGAGGCUCGAGGAUCAAUACGUGGUUGAAGAAGCAGAGAGAUUGUUACUACUUGCUCUGGCUUGCUCCCAUCCAAUUGCCAAUGAAAGGCCUAAAACACAAACAAUAGUUCAAGUUAUAUCAGGAUCAGUACCAGCACCACAAGUACCACCAUUCAAACCAUCAUUUGUAUGGCCUUCUAUGGUUCCAAUUGACAUAGAUUCAUCGAGCAUCGUCGAUACAAUAUCCAUCACAACUCCUCAGUACAGUUCAGAGAACAACAGUAUUGAAUAUCAAAGCAAGUCGAGAUAGCAAUAGCUUGAUUUAGGCCACUAAGAUAUUUUUUUUGCUUAUUGUGUAAUGACAAGAAUAGCAGCUCAUGUAUAUAUUUCUCUGCCUUUUGUGUUAAAUUCCAUCCUAUACAUUGUUCCUUCUACGGUGUGAUUGUUUGGUUUGUUGUAUUAAAAAUGACGUGUAUUUCAUAAUUUCUAAAAAGAAGUUGUUCGUUUA